rnacentral:misc_RNA from 1 species
GAUGAAGAACGUAGCGAAAUGCGAUAAGUAAUGUGAAUUGCAGAAUUCAGUGAAUCAUCGAAUCUUUGAACGCACAUUGCGCCCGCCAGUAUUCUGGCGGGCAUGCCUGUUCGAACAUCAUUUCAACCAUCAAGCCCCCGGGCUUGUGUUGGGGACCUGCGGCUGCCGCAGGCCCUGAAAAGCAGUGGCGGGCUCGCUGUCACACCGAGCGUAGUAGAUUUUAUCUCGCUCUGGGCGUGCUGCGGGUUCCGGCCGUUAAACCACCCUUUUAACCCAAGGUUGACCUCGGAUCAGGUAGGAAGACCCGCUGAACUUAAGCAUAUCAAUAAGCGGAGGA